CCGUCUGUGGCCGAAUGGAUUAGGCAUCGUAGUUCUAUUGCGACUCACACAGGUUCGAAUCCUGUCAGGCGGA
rnacentral:tRNA from 1 species